CUCCACCACCAGCACUGUCAUUGUUACAGUGAUUCAGGUGAACCCUGUGAAAAACAGGCAGGACUCUCUGGUGACUCAGAUGGGAGGAGGAAAGCACACUGUGUAACUAGCUUGGAGCCACUGGAUAAACUUCCUCCUUUCUAUUCAUAGGCCUAGAAGGAGACUUUGACCCUCAUAAAGGCACAGCUGUCCAGAAGCUCCACCCGACCCUUCAUCUCAGGAUCCACCCAUGGGAACCAGGACCUGGCAUGAGAUGUCUCAGGAGUACCCUGCAAGAAAGGGGAGGAAGGGCUCAUCUCUGCCCUUUUCAGAUGGUGUCAGUAUUGGCUCUCACCCACCUUAAGUGAAAGAGUGAUUUCUCUUAUGGUGGUGAGAGUGGCAGGUAAUAAAAGAGAUGACAGUUACAUAGACAAGGUUAAAGGGGGGACCAUGUCAUCAGUGGAAAAUGAAAACAAAGAGGUAUUUGGUCCUUAGACGGUGUGAUAUAGAAGAAUCUGGACAGCCAGGUUUGAAUUCUAUUCUACUCCUCGAUUUCUGACUUAGAGCAGUACAGGUAAGCUCAAGGUCUUCCCUAUCAAUGUGGUGAUGAUGUCCAUCUCACUAGAACACUGUAUGAAUGGAGGGACCAUUAAUUACUACUAUGGGUAGCAUAUGUAGGUGCUACAUAGACUGCAGUAUAUGAAUCAGGGUUCUGAUAGGAAUAGAACAUAAAUCUAAUUAUAGGAGGGAAUUUUUAGAUUGGUUUACAUGAUCAUAAGGUAGACAAUCUCACAAUGGCUGCCUGUGUGCAGGAGAGCCAGGAAGCCAGAAGUUGCUCAGUCUAAGAAGCUGGGAGCUUCACAACAAGAGGGAUCAGUGAUGCAGCCUCAGUUCAAGAUUGAAGACCUGCAAGUCCUCUGGAAAGUUUCUGGUGCAAGUCAUGUUCAAAAGGUGAAGAAUAUGGAAUCAGAUAUAUGGGGGUGACAAUAGCAGCAAAAAAAAAAAUCACACCUGGUUAAGAAGAUUUGAUCGCACAUAGCUUUGCCUUUUCUCCCCCUUCCC
rnacentral:lncRNA from 1 species